CAGGCGUAAUUUAUUCAAGGUGAAGCAUAAUUGCUACUAUCAAAAAGGUAUCCUAAAAAUAAAGGGCUGAAAAUG